rnacentral:rRNA from 1 species
UGGGGAAUUUUGGACAAUGGGGGCAACCCUGAUCCAGCGACGCCGCGUGAAGGAUGAAGGUCUUCGGAUUGUAAACUUCUUUUAGAGGGGAUGAAUGCUUACGUGAAUAACGUAAGGUGACAGUACUCUCUGAAUAAGCCACGGCUAACUACGUGCCAGCAGCCGCGGUAAUACGUAGGUGGCAAGCGAUACUCGGAAUCACUAGGCGUAAAGCGCAGGUAGGUGGUUUGGUAAGUCUUUUGUGAAAGCUCCCGGCUUAACUGGGAGAGGUCAAAGGAAACUACCGGACUAGAGUUUGGUAGGGGAUACUGGAAUUCCUGGUGUAGCGGUGAAAUGCGUAGAUAUCAGGAGGAAUACCUAUGGCGAAAGCAGGUAUCUGGGCCACAACUGACACUGAGCUGCGAAAGCUAGGGGAGCAAACAGG